ACGAGAAAUCCUUGGCUUGCCAGGGAGAGUAAAGUGGCGCACGGGUGAGUAUCGCGUGGGUAAUCUACCCUUGGAUUCAGGAUAACACUUCGAAAGGGGUGCUAAUACUGGAUAACAUCCUGAUGGUUUAGGCCAUAAGGAUCAAAGAUAGCCUCUACAAGUAAGCUAUUGUUCAGGGAUGAGCCCGCGUACCAUUAGCUAGUUGGUGGGGUAAUGGCCUACCAAGGCAACGAUGGUUAGCUGGUCUGAGAGGAUGAUCAGCCACACUGGAACUGAAACACGGUCCAGACUCCUACGGGAGGCAGCAGUGAGGAAUUUUGCGCAAUGGGGGAAACCCUGACGCAGCAACGCCGCGUGAGUGAAGAAGGCUUUCGGGUCGUAAAGCUCUGUCAAGAGGGAAGAAAGUGGAAGGUGGUAAUACUGUUUUCUAUUGACGGUACCUCUGAAGGAAGCACCGGCUAACUCCGUGCCAGCAGCCGCGGUAAUACGGGGGGUGCAAGCGUUAUUCGGAUUUAUUGGGCGUAAAGAGCGCGUAGGCGGUUUAUCAAGUCAGAUGUGAAAGCCC
rnacentral:rRNA from 1 species